CCUACGGGGAGCAGCAGUGGGGAAUUUUGCGCAAUGCUCGUAAGAGUGACGCAGCGACGCCGCGUGAAUGACGAAGGCCUUCGGGUCGUAAAGUUCUUUCGACAGGGAAGAAAAUGCCUAUAAGUAACUGUGUAUGUAUUGACGGUACCUGUAUAAGCAGCCCCGGCUAACUCCGUGCCAGCAGCCGCGGUAAUACGGAGGGGGCGAGCGUUGUUCGGAGUGACUGGGCGUAAAGAGCACGUAGGCGGUGUUGUAAGUCAUUAGUCAAAGACUAGAGCUCAACUUUAGUAAGGCUAGUGAUACUAUAAUACGAGAGUAUCAGAGAGGAUUGCAGAAUUCCUGGUGUAGCGGUGAAAUGCGUAGAUAUCAGGAGGAAUACCGUUAGCGAAGGCGGCAAUCUGGCUGGAAACUGACGCUGAGGUGCGAAAGCGUGGGUAGCAAACAGGAUUAGAUACCCCAGUAGUC
rnacentral:rRNA from 1 species